GCCGCUAUGGUGAAAUUGGUAGACACGCUGCUCUUAGGAAGCAGUGCUCAUGCAUCUCGGUUCGAGUCCGAGUGGCGGCA
rnacentral:tRNA from 1 species